rnacentral:rRNA from 2 species
ACUUAAAUUGAAGAGUUUGAUCAUGGCUCAGAUUGAACGCUGGCGGCAGGCCUAACACAUGCAAGUCGAGCGGUAGCACAGAGAGCUUGCUCUCGGGUGACGAGCGGCGGACGGGUGAGUAAUGUCUGGGAAACUGCCUGAUGGAGGGGGAUAACUACUGGAAACGGUAGCUAAUACCGCAUAACGUCGCA